rnacentral:lncRNA from 1 species
GGAGUCUUCACAUGUCAUUGUCUUCGACAUGAAUGUCUUCAUAGACCACCAUUGUCUUCAAUGUCUUCGUACAUUUUUAGGGGUCAUCUCUGGUAGCUAAACCGAAUCAAUGAGGGACUUCUACCUGUGUUAUCCUGCAAUUCUCACAAACACAUUAGUCCCUCAACUAGGUUUGUCGUCAAUACUCCAAAACCAACUAGGGGUGGCACUAGAUGCACUUACAAUCUCCCCCUUUUUGGUGAUUGAUGACAAACUAGUUGAAGUUUUCAACGGGGAAUAUAAUUUGUGAAAUUGUAAAGGAAUUGUCUUCAUAAGCUGCAAGGGCUCCCCCUGAAGAUGUGCAUAUAAGUGAUUUGCUUCUGGAACGCAAAUGCACAUAGCAGGUUGUAUUUUUGGGAAUCCACUUCAACUUAUGAUGACAAUCCACCAUGCAUGUAAAGAUAUAUGAAGAUAAUGACAUGCAUAAUGAAAAAUGGACGUCUGCGAAAUGAUAUAGGUGCGGAAAUUAUCAUCGUACAUGCGGAAUUUAUCUUCGCAAAAACACAGUGGUAAACAUAGUAGCAGACGACCAUCAAGUUUAAGUGUUACAACUCAAAGAACCAAAUGUAUCAAAACGAGAGUUGUAAGCACGAAGCAAAAUGCAAAAUAUAAAGCACCCGCCCAUAUUAUUGACCCGCUUGAAGACUAUAGACAUCAUAUGCUUCUCCCCCUUUUCUCAGUGAUGACUAAAAAGGUUUGAAGACAUAGAGUUUUCUACGCGUUCCCAGGCGCAGCAGGGUCGGUGGAGGCGUUUGGUGGUGCUGACGAGCUUGGUGCAGGGUCGACGCGCGCUGAAGAAGGUGGUGGUGAUGUAGCGUCUUCUUCUUCCUCAAUGAUUUUUCCAGUCACUGUGGCAGCAGAGGAAGAGAACUCUGAUUCUUCAAGCGAUGGAGUUCCGCGCAGCACACAUCUUCUGGGGGGGGGAGUCAAACUUGAAUCGCUCUUUGAAGCCAUCCUCUUGAAGUUCAGCUUCAGUGCACAUCAUGGUGAGGCCUUUCCAAGUGCGGCGACAGGUUUCAUGCGCGACAAAGGCAUUCUUGGUGGCCAGAUUUCUGAUGUGAUUGAUGUCUUGCAUGAUACUGCGCAUCUGCCUUUUGAGCCAGUCGUGAUGCCUAUCUUGCUUUUGGUGCAGAGCCACAAGAAGUUCACGGUCAGUGAGUGUACGAGCGCGUUUCUUGGGUCUCUGGGCAGCUGUGCUGUCAGUGGCUUCAGUUGAUGCAGGGGCACGUGUGGUGCCAGCCAUUGGAUACACUCUGGAGAUGGCUUCAACACCUUCAUCAUGCUGAGUGAAGCUCUGGUGUUCUGCAUUCUGAAGACUUAAUGGCUGCUUGGCAGGCUCAGGAUAUAUGGCUUCAGCAGAGGUGUCCACAUCAGGUAAGAAGAUUCUGUGGUUGCGGGCAGAGGGCUGAUAGGAGACAGCAGAGUGGAGCUUGAUUAGCCUCAUAACCCAUGGAGCAUAAAUCUUCAAACCAAAGAGAUCUGAGCCAGACGCUGCAAGUUGGCGUAUAAAGAGAUCCUGAGCGUUGAAGCAUUUUCCAUGCAGGAUACAGAAGAUGAGAGUCUUCAUGGCACCUUCAACCUUGGCAUAUCAAGAGUACCCCUUAAUGGGCCAUAGAGUCCGCCUGACGAUGUGAUAUAUAGUUCUGGGCAGGUACUCUAAGUCUUCAACGAAGAACUCGGUUGGGUAAGGUGCAUCAGGAAGCAAUGGCUUCAUCAUUGAGAGCAUCUGACUCAUAUUUGGCUCAGGUCGCUGAAAUAUGCUCUCAAUUGCUUCAGCAUGGAGUUGGCAGCCUUCUUCAAAGAGUUCGCCAGGAGUGGAUUGGCCGGUAAGCUCAAUGAUAUCGAAUGCAUUGGCUUCAUGAUGGACAUUGCCGGUCAUCCACUCCAGGACCCAAGUCUUCGGAUCUCUGUUGUAGCCUUUGAUGUGCAGUGUGGCAUAGAACUGGAGCAGAAGCUCUUCAUUCCAGUGCUCUUCAUCUGUGAUAAACGACAGCAGGCCAACUUCCUUGAAGCAGUCCAGUGCUUCUUCCAGACCAGGCAGACCAGCAACAACUUCAACCUCAAGGCGCUGGUGAGGAAAGAUACGGCCUUGGUUGUAUAGGACGCAGGAGUAGUAGCUGCGCUGUGGGUAGCUCCAGAACCUAUCUGAUACAAUCCGUUCCCUUGAAUAAGGGUUCUUGGAGCAGUUGAAGAAAGUGUUGUCUGCCUUGAAGCUAUUGACAUUAAAGGAGCCAGGCGCUGUUGCAGGACCUGGGAACCUUGGCAUUCGUGGGAUUGGCUUCUGGACCUGGGGCCUGUGCGCAACAUGAUAGUUGAACUGUGGACCGACAGCAGACUCAGGCAUAGAAGGUUCAGAGGCAGUAGCUUCAGUGUCUCUUGAAGCUGUUGGUUGGUCGGGCUCCACAAAGGCUUCAGUGUUGGUUGUGGCAGCCGCAAUAGUUUCAGCCUCAGGUAUGUUCUCCUUGAGAACUUCUUCUUAUUGGUGCGGGGGAGAUGGAGCUUGAGGUUCUUCUUCAUGUUCUUCGGCUGAUGAAGCCGGAAUGUUGUCAGCAGCCUGAGCCCUUGGCCCUUUGCGAAGCCUACGGAAUGCAGGCGACGCUGGUGGAGUUGCAAUGGGCUCGGGCUCAGUCUCUUCCUCCUGCGGCCGAUCUGCCCACGAUGCAUCUUGGGUGAUUGGCGUCAAGGGACGACCAAUGCUGAUCAUUUCGCUUGUUUCAAGCUGAGGAAGGACUGCAUCACCUUGCACAUUGUCUUGGAGACCAAUGUCUUCAGCAGCGUUGGGGUUGGCUGCUGGAAUGUCUUCAGUGUGCCAAGCCUCUGUGAAAGCAGGCUCAUGCACGGUCAGCUGACGAUCUUCGUUAGGAAAGCGGACGGAGAGGGGUUCGACUAUCAGGGGCUCUGUGGGAGCAGCCCGAGACUUCUUGGUCUUUCGCUUCUUGAUGGUGGGGUCUGAAGGAGAGGCUUCAGGGUGUUUCCUCUUCCUUGCUUCAGCUUCGACUGUCCUUGUCUUCUUAAGCUCUGAAGCGGUUGAGCGGUGCUUUGGAUUCGAGCCAGUCUUGGCAGUGGGGAAGACAAUCGGAACAGCUUCUUGCCUUGGGGCCUCUUGUUCAGCCAUAGUGGGCUUCUUCUUUUUCUUCGCGGCCAUCCUGGGGUCGAUGCCGGGACGCCCAAGUUCCUUGCGCUUCUCGGCCUCAUUGUAGGCCUGCACACAGAGGUCAGCCAAAGUCUUCAUGCGCUCACGCGAACCCUGAGCUUCUGCACGUUUCUUCAUAAAAUUUUCCUUCAACUCUGCAGCAUGACCUUGAAGUCCUUGACUUCUUGGACGCUGAGAUGGGCCAUAUUCUGCUUGAACUGAGCCUUUUCAAAAUCUAUUUUCUGCUUCAGUUCAACUAUGCGCUGGGCAAUUGCGAGUUCUGAAGCAAUAGCGCCUUGGAAGGCUACGCUGAGGCCAAUGGGUAGCUGCAGAUCAUCGAAGUUGAUGUUGGGUGUAUCAAACCACUCAUCAAUGAAGUUGUGGAUGAUUGCUGCAUCAAACAGAGGCAGAUUGUUGAAGAUUUCAGCCUCCUCCUUGCUCUUGAUGAGCUGCUCAAGAGCGUCAUCGGAAAGAUCUUCGUCGCUUGACAGAUCAAUGGCCUCGCAGCGCAGAAUGGCAGCGGCAGUGAGCUCUUUGCCAGUGUGUGGCUGAGGCUUCUUGGCUUCUUGGGGUUUGGAGACUCGUGAUAAGUCUUCAGACUGCACACUUGCUUCAGGAGGUGCAGUGGCCAAUGGCUUCGCUCUGGAGAUCUUGGGAGAAGUGGCUGACUUUGAAGCUUUUGGCUUCUUCUUCGUCUGCUUCGGCUCCGGGGCAGCAGGAGCAUCAUCAGACUCAGUGUUUGCUGGAGGGUCGUUCACGGCAGUCCCUUGGACUAGAAUGCGAGUGAUGAGGCCUUCGAGAUUGGCAUACGGCCCGAUGACAUUGGGAUUUGCGUCGCGUGUGCCAUCCGCCCUUGGCUUAGAGGGACCAGGGUUCAAGUCCAGCCCAAACUCCUUCUUGUUUUGCUUCACAGAGUUUUGAGCAAAUUGGAAGUUGCGCUUGAAUAUAUUGUCAUCGCGACACCAGAGAAGGGAUGACGGAUGUGCUUCAGCUGGCUGUGGUCCUCUGACCAUGCAUGGAUAGAAGCCUUGAGCAAUGGCUUCGUCUCUGGACCGGGGUACGAGAUUUUUGUACAAUACAUCUCCCCAUGGUCUCUUGAUGGCGCACUUCUCUGCAUAUUCCUUUGUGACGAAGCGGUAUUGGAACCACUGCUUUGCCCAAUAUCUUCGAAUCCAUUGGAUUCGUGUCUUGCGCUUACCAUAGCUCUCUUCAGGAUCAGUUUGGUACAUUUCUGCCAAGUCUUCAGGCAGAUCUUUAGACGUUUCACCACGUCUCUGUCUGCCUCCCUUCCUUGCUGGUUUUUCUGCUGCCAUGAAGCUUAACUUGGAAGGCUUCAAGAUAUUCAAAGUCUUCAAAGGCUUCCUUUUGCUUGACCAACAGGAACUUGCUUCGGGUGAAUUGAUGUGACGCUGUAGGAACUCUGCAAAUGAAUGCAGACUAUGAGAACCAAAAGAUUCUCCCACGGACAUGUACCUGUGACAGCAUUAAGGUGCGAGGGAAGGGGAAGAGGUCAUAUGCAUUCUCAGAAGAUUUUGAAGAUAAAUCAGUUUAGAAGAUAUUGACCUCAUCAUGCGAAGACAUUCACUUUAUAGAAAAGAAGUUGGUUCCAGACUUGUACGAACCCAUAGAUCAGUACAAGUGAGGAAUCUAACUACUUCAUGAAGAACAAGUGAAUAUACUAGGCAAGUUAGGAGAUGCAGAUGAGAGAGAUGAAACUUGUGUGAAUAGAAACCUCUUAUGGCAGAAAGUGACUGAGCUAUAGGAUCAAAAGAGGCUGUAAAAAGAGGUUUUAUUUACCACACUUGGAACUUCUAGACGAGGUGAGAGUUGAGGCCGAGCAGUUCGAUCCUCCGUGCCCUAACUUGGCGACGGAAGACACCUACGGCGAUGGCGGAGAGACCGAUGUCCGCAGUCGGCAUGAAAACGGCGUCGGAGAGGUUGCGGCAGUGAAGCACUUCGUCGCCGGCGUCGUUGAGAGUUAGCGGUGGCGCUAGGGUUCGUGCGAGGGUGGAAGAAGAGAUAAUGACCGCAGUGAAUCGUGUAUUUAUAGGGAUAUGGGCGGCACUGCGCUAUUACUCAGGUUCCCCUGGCGAUUCGCAUGUGAUCAGUACGUGGCCAGCAUGUGGAAUUGUGGGGGCAGUUUCACCCCACGCACGCCUUGUUUGUCGGGAGCCGUUCCUACUUCUCCGGAUUUCUUGUUGAUGGAAUAACAUUGAAAGCGGUUUUAAAGUUUGUCUCUGUGUCUUCAUCUGACAAGGAUGCAGUGAAGACAUUCGACAGUUUCAAUAGAAUGCAUAUGACUUGGAGAGAUAGAGUUUGAGGUAGGAAGCAUGGAGAGGUUAGGGUCCGAUCACAUUCACUUAGUUCAAAAGAUUCAAACAAGAAGACAUAGCUAUAAGUGAAUGAUGUAGAGGACAAAACACCAGUACAUAUAUAUAAUCUACAUAGUGAAGAUAAUCAUGAAGACAAAUUUAGAUUGAAGCCAAACCAAAUGUGAAGACAUAGCAAAUGUGACGCCAUGAGUGGAACGCUUCAAACAGAAAAUUUGGUGGUGGCGUUACCCACCGUAUAGGAAGUAUUAGACCCAGACACGGCGCACAAUUAUCGUGGCGCUCCGAAGUCAAAUUCCAUGUUAAUGUAUUCACACUUAGAAUGUAUGUCUUCAUUGAUUGAAGAUAUACGUUACUUCGUGUGUUGCUCAUCUAAGUCAUCAAUAUGCAUAAGUGUUAGGAUGUGUGCCUGAUCACAGGACAUUUGAGGAUUCCAGGAUAUUUAGCUCACACCGUAACUUGCAAAAUCUCUUCUCGUCCAAGGGCUUGGUGAAGAUAUCUGCCAAUUGCUCUUCAGUGUUGACGUGUAUGAUAUCAAUAUCUUCCUUUGCAACAUGAUCUCUGAGAAAAUGAUGACGAAUUUCAAUGUGCUUUGUCUUCGAGUGCUGAACUGGGUUGUUGGCAAUCUUGAUGGCGCUUUUGUUGUCGCAGUAAAGUGGCACUUGCUUCAGAUGAAUGCCAUAAUCCUUGAGGGUUUGCUUCAUCCAUAGAAGCUGAGCACAGCAGGAUCCAGCAGCAAUGUAUUCAGAUUCAGCAGUGGAGAGAGAUACACAGUUCUGCUUCUUUGAAGACCAACAUACAAGUGAUCGGCCCAGAAAGUGACAUGUGCCUGAUGUGGACUUCCGAUCGACCUUGUCACCAGCGUAAUCAGCAUCCGAAAAUCCAACCAGAUCAAACUCUGAGCCCUUUGGAUACCAUAACCCUAGAGUUGGGGUGUGAGCCAAAUAUCGAAGAAUUCGCUUCACAGCUAAGUGAUGCGACUCCUUUGGUGCCGCUUGGAAUCAAGCACACAUGUAAACACUAAGCAUAAUAUCUGGCCUAGAUGCACAUAAAUAAAGCAAAGAACCAAUCAUGGAGCGGUAUACCUUUUGAUCGAACUCUUUACCAUUGUCGUCAGGACCCAGAUGAUGUUUGGCUGGCAUUGGUGUUGUGAAGCCUUUGCAGUCUUGCAUACCGAACUUCUUCAGGCAAUCUUUGAGAUACUUCUCUUGAGAUAUGAAGAUGCCAUUGCGUUGUUGCCGUAUUUGAAGACCGGGGAAGAAUUUCAGCUCCCCCAUCAUAGACAUCUGAUAUUGCUCUUGCAUCAUAUAUCCGAAUUCCUCACUGUACUUCUUAUUGGUGCAGCCGAAGAUAAUGUCAUCCACAUAUAUUUGGCACACAAACAGUUCAUCAUCAUAUGUCUUCGUGAAGAGAGUGGGAUCUAGGGAACCAGGUAUGAAGCCUUUGCUCUUCAGGAAGUAUUUGAGUGUAUCAUACCAGGCCCGAGGGGCUUGUUUGAGGCCAUAUAGUGCCUUAUUGAGCUUGUAAACCAUGUCAGGAUGUUUUGGAUCUUCAAACCCAGGUGGUUGUGCAACAUACACUUCUUCUUCAAUUUUGCCAUUGAGGAAGGCACUCUUUACAUCCAUUUGAUACAAAAUUAUGUUUUGAUGAUUUGCAUAGGCCAGCAGUAUACGAAUGGCUUCAAGUCUGGCAACAGGAGCAAAUGUUUCAUCGAAGUCAAUGCCUUCCACUUGAGUAUAUCCUUGGGCAACGAGACGAGCCUUGUUUCUGACGACUUGGCCAUGCUCAUCUUGCUUGUUGCGGUAUAUCCAUUUGGUGCCUAUUAUGUUAUGCUUCCGUGGAUCAGGACGCUUAACCAACUCCCAUACAUUGUUCAGCUCAAACUGUUGAAGCUCUUCUUGCAUAGCUUGAAUCCAUUCAGGUUCCAUAAAAGCUUCAUCAAUUUUCUUGGGUUCAGUGAUUGAAACGAAUGCGAAGUGUCCGCAGAAAUUUGCCAGUUGAUUUGCCCUUGAACGAGUCAGUGGACCUGGUGCAUUGAUGCUAUCAAUUAUUCUGUCAAUCUGCACUUCAUUGGCAACACGAGGAUGUAGGGGUCAAAGACUUUGCUCUUGCUGAUCUAUGUUGUCAUGGGGAGGAAUGUCUUCAGGCUGAGCAUUGUCUUCGUGUGGAUCAGGUGCUGAGAUGAUAAGUUCUUCUUCAGGAUGAGCUUCAGAAGGUAUAAUUUCUCCAGUUCCCAUUAGCUUGAUUGAUUCACUGGCUGGAACUUCAUCUAGCACAUUUGGCAGUUGCUCUCUUUGUGACCCAUUGGUCUCAUCGAACCGCACAUCCACUGUAGGAGUGCGAAUCCUUUCCAUAUCCAAGCAUAAAGCCCUCAUGUGCUUUUGGAGAAAAUUUUGAGGUGUGGUGAGGGUCCUUGAUCCAGCAUCUUGAUCCAAAUACUCUGAAGUAACUGACAUUUGGCUUCUUGCCAGUUAGAAGCUCAUAAGAUGUCUUGUUCAGUAGCUUGUGAAGAUAUACACGGUUGAUAGUAUGGCAUGCAGUGUCAAUGGCUUCAGUCCAGAAUUUUCUUGGUGUCUUGUACUCAUCUAACAUUGUUCUGGCCAUCUCAAUGAGUGUUCUGUUCUUGCGUUCGACGAUGCCAUUCUGUUGUGGCGUGUACGGAGCUGAGAAUUCAUGAGUGAUGCCCAAUGUAUCAAGAUAUGUGUCAAGGCCAGUGUUCUCGAAUUCUGUGCCAUUGUCACUUCUGAUGUGCUUUAUCUUGGCGCCAUAAUUGUUCAUAGCCCGAUUUGCGAAGCGUCUGAAGACAAAGGAUUAUGUGCACCCAAGUAUAUCUAGAGUAAUCAUCAACAAUGACGAAGCCAUAGAGGCAAGCAGUAGUGGAAAAAGUUGAGUAGUGAGUGGGACCAAAGAGAUCCAUGUGAAGCAGUUCGAAGGGUUGAGUAGUGGUCAUGAUUGUCUUCGAAGGAUGUUUUGCCCUUGUCAUCUUCCCAGCUUCACAGGCACCGCAUAAGUGAUCUUUCUUGAACUUGACGCCCUCGAUGCCUAUGACAUGCUUCUUCUUCGCAAGGGUGUGGAGGUUCCUCAUGCCAGCAUGCCCAAGUCUUCGAUGCCAAAGCCAGCAUUCUGAAGCCUUUGCGAGAAGACAUACUGCAAGCUGUGGCCCUGCUGAGAAAUCUACCACGUACAAAUCAUCUUUCCGAUACCCUUCAAACACUAGAGACUUGUCAGAUUCCAUUAGUACCAGGCAAUGAUAUUUUCCAAAGAUUACAAUCAUGUUCAAAUCGCAAAGCAUUGAGACAGACAUUAAGUUGAAGCCAAGGGAUUCAACAAACAUGACUUUAUCCAUGUGUUGAUCCUUUGAUUGCAACUCUACCUAGACCCAGUACCUUACUUUUACCAGUGUCAGCGAAUGUGAUGUGGCUCUUGUCAGAUGGACGUAAGAGACUUCUUUUGCCAGUCAUGUGAUUUGUACAUCCACUGUCAAUAAUCCAUUCUGAAGACUCUGAAGUCACUGGUGUCGUACCCUACAGUGCAGUUAGGGGGAUAGGCUUCACGAAGAGUGUUGUGAAGCAAAAACAUUUGACGAACCAGUGGAUUAUGAAAACUUAGAUCCAGGUUAGGACAAGUAGGGAGAGUAGCAUGCGAUUCAGGUAUGAAAUACAUAGUGAUGUCAUUCGGGCAUUCGAUCUUGCGCCCCACAAGAUUUUUAAGGUCCCCAGCAAUAGCGUCAGAAGAUUUUGGUUUUCUGCUGGAGACCUUUCCCUGCAAAAGAGAGUUAAGCUUUCUUAACCACCCAUCUUCAAGGGUGGCUUAGAAGCAAUAAGUCUAAGUGCAGCAUCUGAGAAUUUUGUCUUUGGAGCCCUAGCAAACAGUCUAGCAGGUGGGCAAUAGUACUCAUAAGAAUAGGCAGAAUAGUUCUUGAUCAUAUGAGCAGAACGGUUUGAAGAACAGCUCUCAUAUGCCUGAGCAUGGUUUCCUUGCAAAACAUUUGCGUUAGUGCGACUCAGGUGAGUCCUCUGCCUGUAUGAAGCCUUUGGACCAUAUGAAGCCUUUGGUCUAAGGUUUGUCUUCUUCAUGUGAGGUGUCAUGAAGACAUUCACAGGAAGAUUCUCCAGACACGUUUUUGGAACCCAGAUCUUCUUCAUAGGCAGUCCAUUACUGCAGUUAGUACCAAUGUACCUGGCAAAUACUUCACCAUUCUGAUUUUUAAACAGUUUAUAGUUUGCAUCAAAGGAUUCAUCAAUGAUAAUAGGAUCAGCACAAGUAAAGCCAGAUAGAUUGAAUGGAUCUGCUGAGGAUUCCUUUGCAGCAACCCAUGUGGUUUUGGGGUACUGCUCAGGUUUCCAGUAAGAUCCAUCUGCAUUAAUUUUCCUCACGAACCCAACACCCUCUUUCCUAGGGUUUCGGUUCAGAAUCUGCUUCUUGAGGACAUCACAUAAUGUCUGAUGUCCUUUGAGACUUUUGUACAUCCCUGUUUCAAGCAAUGUCUUCAACCUAGCAUUCUCAUCGGCAAUAGCAGUGGUAUCCUCAGCAGAGGGGUUAGUUACCACUUCAACAGUUGAAGAUAUUGCAACAGCAGUAGCAGUGGAACAUUCAGCAACAGAAGUAGAAUUAUCACGCUCAAUGCAUUUAAGGCAUGGUGGUUCAAAUCCUUCCUGAGCAGAACUGAUCUGUUCGGCUUGAAGUGACUCGUUUUCCUUUUGAAGAUCUUCAUGAUCCGCUCUCAACUUCUCAAGAUCUUGCUUGUUUUGAAGAUAAUCAUAGGAAAGCUUUUCAUGAGUAGUUGAGAGAGUCUCAAGACGAUCUUCGAGUUCCUGAUACUUAACAUGAAGAUUUUUUAUGUCUUCAAUUAAGGAUUCAGAACGAGUCAUUUCAAAACCCAACAGAUCAUCGCUUCUGUCUAACAGUUUUUGAAUAUGUUCCAUGGCCUUCUGUUGUUCAGUUGCAAUUUUAGCAAGUGUUUUGUAGCUGGGUUUUGAAUCACAAUCAGAGUCAUCGUCACUGGAUGUUUGAUAGUGAGUAGUGCGUGUGUUUACCUUGGCACCACGUGCCAUGAAGCAGUAGGUAGAAGUAGAGUCGUCCUUGUCAUUUGCAUCGGUGGUGGUGAUGAAGUCAUUGUCUUCAGUGUUGAAGAUGGACUUGGCGACGUAGGCUGUAGCCAGACUCGCAAUGCCUGAAUCAGACUCCACCUCUGCCUCCUCAGAAGCGGACUCCUCCUCUGAAUCCAUUUCCUUGCCAACAAACGCACGAGCCUUGCCAGAUGAACUCUUCUUGUGUGAUGAAGACUUUGAGGAAGACUUGGAUGAAGACUUUGAGUAUUUCUUCGUCUUCUUAUCGUCAGAGUCAUAUUCCUUGAUCUUCUUCUUCUUUCUGUUCUCAUUGUCCCACUGUGGACACUCAGAGAUGAAGUGUCCAGUUUUCUUGCACUUGUGACAUGUUUUCUUCUUAUAGUUAUGAGCAGAAACUUCAUCAUUCCUUGAGCUUGAUCGUGAAGACUUUCUGAAGCCUUUCUUCUUGGUGAAUUUCUGGAACUUCUUCACUAGCAUUGCAAGUUCCCUUCCAAUGUCUUCAGGAUCAUCAGAACUGCUGUCAGAUUCUUCUUCAGAUGAGGACACAGCUUUUGCCUUCAAGGCACGAGUUCGCCCAUAGUUUGGACUGUAGAUAUCUCUUUUCUCAGAAAGCUGAAACUCAUCUGUGUUGAGCCUCUCAAGUAUGUCAGACGGAUCGAGUGUCUUGAAGUCUGGACGUUCUUGAAUCAUCAGGGCUAGGAUGUCAAAUUAACUGUCAAGUGAUCUCAGCAGCGUCUUGACGAUUUCAUGUUUGGUGAUCUCAGUGGCGCCGAGGGCUUGAAGCUCAUUUGUGAUGUCAGUGAGCCGGUCAAAUGUGUGCUGGACAUUCUCAUUGUCAUUUCGCUUGAAGCGGUUGAAGAGGUUGCGAAGAACACUGAUUCUCUGAUCUCUCUGGGUUGAGAUGCCUUCAUUGACCUUGGAGAGCCUGUCCCAAACCAGCUUGGAUGUCUUCAAGGCACUCACACGGCCGUACUGUCCCUUGGUCAGAUGACCACAGAUAAUAUUCUUGGCAGUGGAGUCCAGUUGAGUGAACUUCUUGACAUCAGCAGCAGUGACACCUUCUCCAGCCUUGGGAACGCCGUUUUCGACGACAUACCAUAGGUCGACGUCAAUGGCUUCAAGAUGCAUGCGCAUCUUAUUCUUCCAGUAGGGAUAUUCAGUUCCAUCGAAGACGGGGCACGCAGCGGAGACUUUAAUUAUCCCUGCAGUCGACAUAGCUAAAACUCCAGGUUGUUAAACCGAAUCACACAGAACAAGGGAGCACCUUGCUCUGAUACCAAUUGAAAGUGCGUUAUAUCGACUAGAGGGGGGGUGACUAGGCGAUUUUUAUGAAAGUCUUCAAAACGUGGAAGUUAUGAAGACAAACAGAGUGGACAAGCCUAUCAUUAUGUAGCGGAAGUUAGAUUACACAACGCAAGCCAUAGUCAAGUGUACAAUAUAGUGAAAGCACAGUGACAAACAGCUUCAGUGUAAUGAGGAUCAGGUAGGAAGAAGUUAUGAAGCCAAACAUAUCAUACAGUCAAGUUGUGAAGACAGGAGACAAAGCAAGCAUGCAAUAGCUUCACAAUGUGUACUGGUAAGUAAAGGGAGGUGAAGAUGAAACCAGUGACACGUUGAAGACAAUGAUAUGUUGGACCAGUUCCAGUUGCUGUGACAACUGUACGUCUGGUUGGAGCGGCUAGGUAUUUAAACCAAAGGACACACAGUCCCGGACACCCAGUCCUGAACACGCAGCUCAGGACACCCAGUCCUCACCAUUUUCUUCUUGAGCUAAGGUCACACAGACCUCGCCCAAUCACUCUGGUAAGUCUUCAAGGUAGACUCCCAAACCUUCACAGACUUUGUUCACCGGCAAUCCACAAUUUCUCUUGGAUGCUCAGAACGCGACGCCUAACCGUCUGGAGGAUGCACAAUCCUCAAGUGUAAUAAGUCUUCAGAUCACUCAGACAAGAAGACUUAAGUGAUGCCCAAUUACUCUGGCUCUGGGUGGUUAGGGCUUUUCUCCUCGCUAGGGAUUUUCUCUCAAAGGCUUCGAGGUGGGUUGCUCUCAAACCACAAAAGCCGUGCACUGAAAUCUGAGCAACCAACCAUUUAUGGUUGUAGGGGUGGACUAUUUAUAGCCACUUGGCAACCCGACCUGAUUUGUCUGAAAUGACCCUGGGUCACUAAGGAACUGACACGUGUACUAACGGUCGGAUUUCGAACUCACACGGCAACUUUACUUGGGCUACAAGUAAAGCUGACUUGUCUGACUCUGGACAAGAUUUUCUCUCAUUGUCUUCACUCGAAGACAUAGGAUUUGAAUUAGGCAUCACUUCAGUCAUCCAGACUGGUUCUCUUGGACCCCACUUAACAGUACGGUGGUUCCUAUGACACAACAUGAAUGAAGUAAAACUACGAAGGAUCUAAGUCUUCGAGUUCCAUAGGCUUCAUGGGGAGUCUUCACAUGUCAUUGUCUUCAACAUGAAUGUCUUCAUACACCACCAUUGUCUUCAAUGUCUUCGUACAUUUUUAGGGGUCAUCUCUGGUAGCUAAACCGAAUCAAUGAGGGACUUCUACCUGUGUUAUCCUGCAAUUCUCACAAACACAUUAGUCCCUCAACUAGGUCUGUCGUCGAUACUCCAAAACCAACUAGGGGUGGCACUAGAUGCACUUACAGAAGGACUCUUGCCUUUCGGGUGAAACCGACUUUGUGGAGGCUUUUACUCCAAGUUUCGACCCCAGGGCUCAACAUAUAAAUAGAGGGGCAGGGCUAGCACCAAAGAUAGAUCAAGAAACACCAAGCCGUGUGCCGGCAACCCCGUUGCCUCUAGUUUAUCCUCCAUCAUAGUUUUCGUAGUGCUUAGGCGAAGCCCUGCGGAGAUUGUUCUUCACCAACACCGUCACCACGCCGUCGUGCUGCCGGAACUCAUCUACUACUUCGCCCCUCUUGCUGGAUCGAGAAGGCGAGGACGUCACCGAGCCGUACGUGUGCAGAACUUGGAGGUGCCGUGCUUUCGGUACUUGGAUCGGUCGGAUCGUGAAGACGUUGGACUACAUCAACCGCGUUGAUAUAACGCUUCCGCUUGCGAUCUACAAGGUACGUAGAUCAGACUCUCCCCCGCAUUGCUAUGCAUCACCAUGAUCUUGCGUGUGCGUAGGAAAUUUUUUGAAAUUACUACGUUCCCCUAUAGUGGCAUCCGAGCCUAGGUUUUAUGGUUUGAUGUUAUAUGCACGAGUAGAACACAAGUGAAUUGUGGGCGAUACAAGUCAUACUGCCUACCAGCAUGUCAUACUUUGGUUCGGCGGUAUUGUUGGACGAGACGACCCGGACCAACCUUACGCGUACGCUUACGCGAGACCGGUUCCCCCGACGUGCUUUGCACACAGGUGGCUUGCGGGCGACUGUCUCUCCAUCUUUAGUUGAACCGAGUGUGGCUACGCUCGGUCCUUGCGAAGGUUAAAACGGAGUCUAUUUGACAAACUAUCGUUGUGGUUUUGAUGCGUAUGUGAGAUUGGUUCUUGCUUAAGCCCGUAGCAGCCACGUAAAACUUGCAACAACAAAGUAGAGGACGUCUAACUUGUUUUUGCAGGGCAUGUUGUGAUGUGAUAUGGUCAAGACAUGAUGCUAAAUUUUAUUGUAUGAGAUGAUCAUGUUUUGUAACCGAGUUAUCGGCAACUGGCAGGAGCCAUAUGGUUGUCGCUUUAUUGUAUGCAAUGCAAUCGCGAUGUAAUGCUUUACUUUAUCACUAAGCGGUAGCGAUAGUCGUGGAAGCAUAAGAUUGGCGAGACGACAACGAUGCUACGAUGGAGAUCAAGGUGUCGUGCCGGUGACAAUGGUGAUCAUGACGGUGCUUCAGAGAUGGAGAUCACAAGCACAAGAUGAUGAUGGCCAUAUCAUAUCACUUAUAUUGAUUGCAUGUGAUGUUUAUCUUUUUAUGCAUCUUAUCUUGCUUUGAUUGACGGUAGCAUUAUAAGAUGAUCUCUCACUAAAUUAUCAAGAAGUGUUCUCCCUGAGUAUGCACCGUUGCCAAAGUUCGUCGUGCCCAGACACCAUGUGAUGAUCGGGUGUGAUAAGCUCUACAUCCAUCUACAACGGGUGCAAGCCAGUUUUUGCACACGCAGAAUACUCAGGUUAAACUUGACGAGCCUAGCAUAUGCAGAUAUGGCCUCGGAACACGAAGACCGAAAGGUCGAGCGUGAAUCAUAUAGUAGAUAUGAUCAACAUAAUGAUGUUCACCAUUGAAAACUACUCCAUCUCACGUGAUGAUCGGUUAUGGUUUAGUUGAUUUGGAUCACGUGAUCACUUAGAGGAUUAGAGGGAUGUCUAUCUAAGUGGGAGUUCUUAAGUAAUUUGAUUAAUUGAACUUAAACUUAUCAUGAACUUAGUACCUGAUAGUAUCUUGCUUGUUUAUGUUGAUUGUAGAUAGAUGGCUCGUGUUGUCGUUCCGUUGAAUUUUAAUGCGUUCCUUGAGAAAGAAAAGUUGAAAGAUGAUGGUAGCAAUUACACGGACUGGGUCCGUAACUUGAGGAUUAUCCUCAUUGCUGCUCAGAAGAAUUACGUCCUGGAAGCACCGCUGGGUGCCAGGCCUGCUGCUGGAGCAACGCCAAAUGUUAUGAACGUCUGGCAAAGCAAAGCUGAUGACUACUCGAUAGUUCAGUGUGCCAUGCUUUACAGCUUAGAAUCGGGACUUCAACGACGUUUUGAACGUCAUGGAGCAUAUGAGAUGUUCCAGGAGUUGAAGUUAAUAUUUCAAGCAAAUGCCCGAAUUGAGAGAUAUGAAGUCUCCAAUAAGUUCUAUAGCUGCAAGAUGGAGGAGAACAGUUCUGUCAGUGAGCAUAUACUCAAAAUGUCUGGGUAUAAUAAUCACUUGAUUCAGACGGGAGUUAAUCUUCCAGAUGAUUGCGCCAUUGACAGAAUUCUCCAAUCACUGCCACCAAGCUACAAGAGCUUCUUGAUGAACUAUAAUAUGCAAGGGAUGAACAAAACUAUUCCCGAGCUCUUCGCAAUGCUGAAAGCUGCGGAGGUAGAAAUCAAGAAGGAGCACAAGUGUUGAUGGUUAGCAAGACCACUAGUUUCAAGAAAAAGGGCAAAGGGAAGAAGAAGGGUAACUUCAAGAAGAACGGCAAGCAAGUUGCUGCUCAGGAGAAGAAACCCAAGUCUGGACCUAAGCCUGAAACUGAGUGCUUCUACUGCAAGCACACUGGUCACUGGAAGCGGAACUGCCCCAAGUAUUUGGCAGAUAAGAAGGAUGGCAAGGUGAACAAAGGUAUAUGUGAUAUACAUGUUAUUGAUGUGUACCUUACUAGAGCUCGCAGUAGCACCUGGGUAUUUGAUACUGGUUCUGUUGCUAAUAUUUGCAACUCGAAACAGGGACUACGGAUUAAGCGAACACUGGCAAAGGACGAGGUGACGAUGCGCGUGGGAAACGGUUCCAAAGUCGAUGUGAUCGCGGUCGGCACGCUACCUCUACAUGUACCUUCGGGAUUAAUAUUAGACCUAAAUAAUUGUUAUUUGGUGCCAGCGUUAAGCAUGAACAUUAUAUCUGGAUCUUGUUUGAUGCGAGACGGUUACUCAUUUAAAUCAGAGAAUAAUGGUUGUUCUAUUUAUAUGAGUAAUAUCUUUUAUGGUCAUGCACCUUUGAAGAGUGGUCUAUUUUUGAUGAAUCUCGAUAGUAGUAACACAGAUAUUCAUAAUGUUGAAGCCAAAAGAUGCAGAGUUGAUAAUGAUAGUGCAACUUAUUUGUGGCACUGCCGUUUAGGUCAUAACGGUGUAAAGCGCAUGAAGAAACUCCAUACUGAUGGACUUUUGGAACCACUUGAUUAUGAAUCACUUGGUACUUGCGAACCGUGCCUCAUGGGCAAGAUGACUGAAACACCGUCUCCGGUACUAUGGAGAGAGCAACAGAUUUGUUGGAAAUCAUACAUACCGAUGUAUGUGGUCCGAUGAAUAUUGAGGCUCGUGGCGGAUAUCGUUAUUUUCUCACUUUCACAGAUGAUUUAAGCAGAUAUGGGUAUAUCUACUUAAUGAAACAUAAGUCUGAAACAUUUGAAAAGUUCAAAGAAUUUCAAAGUGAAGUUGAAAAUCAUCGUAACAAGAAAAUAAAGUUUCUAUGAUCUGAUCGUGGAGGAGAAUAUUUGAGUUACGAGUUUGGUGUACAUUUAAAAAAUUGUGGAAUAGUUUCGAAACUCACGCCACCCGGAACACCACAGCGUAAUGGUGUGUCCGAACGUCGUAAUCGUACUUUACUGGAUAUGGUGCGAUCUAUGAUGUCUCUUACUGAUUUACCGCUAUCGUUUUGGGGUUAUGCUUUAGAGACGGCCGCAUUCACGUUAAAUAGGGCACCAUCAAAAUCCUCUGAGACGACGCCUUAUGAACUAUGGUUUGGCAAGAAACCAAAGUUGUCGUUUAUUAAAGUUUGGGGCUGCGAUGCUUAUGUGAAAAAGCUUCAACCUGAUAAGCUCGAACCCAAAUCGGAGAAAUGUGUCUUCAUAGGAUACCCAAAGGAGACUGUUGGGUACACCUUCUAUCACAGAUCCGAAGGCAAGACAUUCGUUGCUAAGAAUGGAUCAUUUCUAGAGAAGGAGUUUCUCUCGAAAGAAGUGAGUAGGAGGAAAGUAGAACUUGACGAGGUAACUGUACCUGCUCCCUUAUUGGAAAGUAGUACAUCACAAAAAAUUGUUUCUGCGACACCUAUACCAAUUAGUGAGGAAGCUAAUGAUGAUGAUCAUGAAACUUCAGGACAAGAUACUACUGAACCUCGUAGAUCAACCAGAGUGAGACCCGCGCCAGAGUGGUACGGUAAUCCAGUUCUGGAAGUCAUGCUACUAGAUCUUGAUGAACCUAUGAACUAUGAAGAAGCGAUGGUGAGCCUAGAUUCCGCAAAGUGGCUUGAAGCCAUGAAAUCUGAGAUGGGAUCCAUGUAUGAGAACAAAGUAUGGACUUUGGUUGACUUGCCCAAUGAUCGGCAAGCAAUUGAGAAGAAAUGGAUCUUCAAGAAAAAGACUGACGCUGACGGUAAUGUUACUGUCUAUAAAGCUCGACUUGUCGCAAAAGGUUUUCGACAAGUUCAAGGGGUUGACUAGGAUGAGACCUUCUCACCCGUAGCGAUGCUUAAGUCUGUCAGAAUCAUGUUAGCAAUUGCUGCAUUUUAUGAUUAUGAAAUUUGGCAGAUGGAUGUCAAAACUGCAUUCCUGAAUGGAUUUCUGGAAGAAGAGUUGUAUAUGAUGCAACCGGAAGGUUUUAUCGAUCCAAAGGAAGCUAACAAAGUGUGCAAGCUCCAGCGAUCCAUUUAUGGACUGGUGCAAGCCUCUCGGAGUUGGAAUAAACGCUUUGAUAGUAUGAUCAAAGCAUUUGGUUUUAUACAGACUUUCGGCGAAGCCUGUAUUUACAAGAAAGUGAGUGGGAGCUCUGUAGCAUUUCUGAUAUUAUAUGUGGAUGACAUAUUGCUGAUUGGAAAUGAUAUAGAAUUUCUGGAUAGCAUAAAGGGAUACUUGAAUAAGAGUUUUUCGAUGAAAGACCUCGGUGAAGCUGCUUACAUAUUAGGCAUAAUGACCUAUAGACAUAGAUCAAGACGCUUAAUUUGACUUUCACAAAGCACAUACCUUGACAAGAUUUUGAAGAAGUUCAAAAUGGAUCAAGCAAAGAAAGGGUUCUUGCCUGUCUUACAAGGUGUGAAGUUGAGUCAGACUCAAUGCCCGACCACUGCAGAAGAUAGAGAGAAAAUGAAAGAUGUUCCCUAUGCAUCAGCCAUAGGCUCUAUCAUGUAUGCAAUGCUGUGUACCAGACCUGAUGUGUGCCUUGCUAUAAGUUUAGCAGGGAGGUACCAAAGUAAUCCAGGAGUGGAUCACUGGACAGCGGUCAAGAACAUCCUGAAAUACCUGAAAAGGACUAAGGAUAUGUUUCUCGUAUAUGGAGGUGACAAAGAGCUCAUCGUAAGAGGUUACGUUGAUGCAAGCUUUGACACUGAUCCGGACGAUUCUAAAUCGCAAACCGGAUACGUGUUUACAUUAAACGGUGGAGCUGUCAGUUGGUGCAGUUCUAAACAAAGCGUCGUAGCGGGAUCUACAUGUGAAGCGGAAUACAUAGCUGCUUCGGAAGCAGCAAACGAAGGAGUCUGGAUGAAGGAGUUCUUAUCCGAUCUAGGUGUCAUACCUAGUGCAUCGGGUCCAAUGAAAAUCUUUUGUGACAAUACUGGUGCAAUUGCCUUGGCAAAGGAAUCCAGAUUUCACAAGAGGACCAAGCACAUCAAGAGACGCUUCAAUUCCAUCCGGGAUCUAGUCCAGGUGGGAGACAUAGAGAUUUGCAAGAUACAUACGGAUCUGAAUGUUGCAGACCCGUUGACUAAGCCUCUUCCACGAGCAAAACAUGAUCAGCACCAAGGCUCCAUGGGUGUUAGAAUCAUUACUGUGUAAUCUAGAUUAUUGACUCUAGUGCAAGUGGGAGACUGAAGGAAAUAUGCCCUAGAGGCAAUAAUAAAGUUAUUAUUUAUUUCCCUAUAUCAUGAUAAAUGUUUAUUAUUCAUGCAAGAAUUGUAUUAACCGGAAACAUAAUACAUGUGUGAAUACAUAGACAAACUUAGUGUCACUAGUAUGCCUCUACUUGACUAGCUCGUUCAUCAAAGAUGGUUAUGUUUCCUAACCAUGAACAAGGUGUUGUUAUUUGAUUAACGAGGUCACAUCAUUGGUUGAAUGAUCUGAUUGACAUGACCCAUUCCAUUAGCUUAGCACCCGAUCAUUUAGUAUGUUGCUAUUGCUUUCUUCAUGACUUAUACAUGUUCCUAUGACUAUGAGAUUAUGCAACUCCCGUUUGCCGGAGGAACACUUUGGGUGCUACCAAACGUCACAACGUAACUGGGUGAUUAUAAAGGAGCAUUACAGGUGUCUCCAAAGGUAGAUGUUGGGUUGGCGUAUUUCGAGAUUAGGAUUUGUCGCUCCGAUUGUCGGAGAGGUAUCUCUGGGCCCUCUCGGUAAUGCACAUCACAUAAGCCUUGCAAGCAUUACAACUAAUGAGUUAGUUGCGAGAUGAUGUAUUACGGAACGAGUAAAGAGACUUGCCGGUAACAAGAUUGAACUAGGUAUUGGAUACCGACGGUCGAAUCUCGGGCAAGUAACAUACCGAUGACAAAGGGAACAGCGUAUAUUGUUAUGCGGUCUGACCGAUAAAGAUCUUCGUAGAAUAUGUAGGAGCCAAUAUGGGCAUCCAGGUCCCGCUAUUGGUUAUUGACCAGAGAGGUGUCUCGGUCAUAUCUACAUAGUUCUCGAAUCCGUAGGGUCCGCACGCUUAACGUUCGUUGACGAUAUAGUACUAUGUGAGUUAUGAAUGUUGGUGACCGAAUGUUGUUCGGUGUCCGGGAUGAGAUCACGGAUAUGACGAGGGACUCCAAAAUGUUCCGGAGACAAAGUUUGAUAUAUGGGAUAAUAGUGUUUGGUCACCGGAAGGGUUCCGGAAAUCACCGGAAGGGGUUCCGGAUGUUUCCCGAAAUGUUUGGGUACGAGAACACUUUAUUUGGGCCAAAGGGGAAAGCCCACAAGGUUUUUGGAAAGCGCAAAAGGAAGUUUUGCGGAGUCCAGGGGCCAGACGCCAGGGUCCCUGGCGUCUGGGUCCAGACGCCGGGAACCCUGGCGUCUGGCCCUGGAGUCCGAGAAGGACUCUUGCCUUUCGGGUGAAACCGACUUUGUGGAGGCUUUUACUCCAAGUUUCGACCCCAGGGCUCAACAUAUAAAUAGAGGGGCAGGGCUAGCACCAAAGAUAGAUCAAGAAACACCAAGCCGUGUGCCGGCAACCCCGUUGCCUCUAGUUUAUCCUCCAUCAUAGUUUACGUAGUGCUUAGGCGAAGCCCUGCGGAGAUUGUUCUUCACCAACACCGUCAUCACGCCGUCGUGUUGCCGGAACUCAUCUACUACUUCGCCCCUUUUGCUGGAUCGAGAAGGCGAGGACGUCACCGAGCCGUACGUGUGCAGAACUCGGAGGUGUCGUGCUUUCGGUACUUGGAUCGGUCGGAUCAUGAAGACGUUCGACUACAUCAACCGCGUUGAUAUAACGCUUCCGCUUGCGAUCUACAAGGUACGUAGAUCAGACUCUCCCCCUCGUUGCUAUGCAUCACCAUGAUCUGGCGUGUGCGUAGGAAAUUUUUUGAAAUUACUACGUUCCCCAACACGCACCGCUCUGUAGCCUGCGUUUUCCUUGGUUAUCUGCAUGAUCACCGUGGCUACAGGUGCUAUGAUCCUUCCUCCCGCCGAGUACUAACCUCCCGCCAUGUCUUCCCGUUCGCCGUCGUUCCACACGCGGACCGUAGCGCUCCGGCGCCGCCGCGCUACGUUCCUGCCCCUAUUCAGGUGCCUGCUGGCGCGCUGCAACCCAGCCAUGUGUCUGCUGCUUCUCCGAUCACCGGGUCUCCCCACUCCCUACAAGCCGCUGGAUCUUCCACGGACGGUCUGCCUGCGCCUUCGUCUGACACGCAUCUGCUGGAUUCAAGCGCAUCCGUUGGAUCGGCAUCGCACGACACUGCCUCGCUCACCUCCUCCGCGCCCACUAACCGUUCAAACCCAGCCGUCCGCAGGAGCAUCCGAGGACUCCACUUCAUCUUCCUCAUCUACGCCCUCACUGCCCGCUGCUCCCACGCGCAUGCUCACCUGCGCGCGUGCUGGCGUCCACCGCCCCAACCAGCGCUACGCCAACGACUACGUCUGCUUCGCCGUUGUCUCUCCACCAACUGGCGCCUCCCCGCUGCCUCGCUCCGUCUGUGAUGCGCUUCGGGACCCCAACUGGGUCUCCGCCAUGCAGGAGGAGUUCGUAGCGCUCACCAGCAACCGCACAUCGGAGCUCGUUCUCCGUCCUCCGCGCGCCAAUAUCAUCACCGGAAAAAUGGGUUUUCCGGCAUAAGACGCGCCCCGAUGGCUCCCUCGAGCGCUACAAAGCCCGAUGGGUUGUCCGCGGCUUCAACCAGCGUGCCGGCGUCGACUAUGGUGAAACUUUCUCGCCCGUGGUGAAGCCCGCCACGAUUCGCACUGUGCUCACCCUCGCUGCUUCACGCUCCUAGCCAGUACAUCAACUGGACGUGAAGAAUGCAUUCUUGCACGACACACUUCAGGAGGGGGUGUUUUGUCUGCAACCUGCCGGAUUUGUGGACGCCGACAAGCCUGACCACCAUGUGUGUCGCCUUGCCAAAUCCCUAAAUGGGCUUAAGCAAGCGCCGCGCGCCUGGUUUCUUCGGUUCGCCAGCUUCCUCACCUCCAUCGGCUUCGCCGCCACGCGCUCCGACACCACCCUCUUCACCUUCUUGCGCGGCGCGGACGUUGCGUACCUCCUGCUCUAUCUGGAUGACAUCAUCCUCACUCCCUCGUCCGACGCACUCCAUCGCCGCAUCAUCACCAACCUCACAGGUGAGUUUGCCAUGAAGGAUUUGGGCCCGCUCCACUUCUUCCUUGGCAUUCAGGUGACCCGAUCAGCGUCUGGCUUCUUCCUCUCACAAGCACAGUAUGCCGAGGACGUCCUCGAGCGUGCUGGCAUGGACAACUGCAAGGCUGCGCCUACGCCGGUGGACACCAAGGCCAAGCUCUCCACUGUUGUCGGUCCGCGCGUCGCCGACCCCUCCGCCUCCCGCAGUCUGGCCGGUGCUUUACAAUACCUGACGAUCACGCGCCCUGAGCUCGCGUACGCGGUCCAGCAGACCUGCCUCCACAUGCAUGAUCCGCGGGAGUGUCACCACGCUCUGCUCAAGCACGCGCUCCGGUAUGUGCGUGGCACGGCCGGGCUCGGUCUUCAUCUUCAGGCUUCCUCGACCCUCGAGCUCUGUGCCUACACCGACGCCGACUGGGCCGGCUGCCUCGACACACGCCACUCCACGUCGGGGUUCUACGUGUUCCUCGGUGAUGCUCUCGUCUCCUGGUCCACGAAGCGACAUGCCACUGUCUCGUGUUCCAGUGCAGAGGCGGAAUACCGCACGGUCGCCAACGCCGUUGCGGAAUGCGUCUGACUUCGUCAACUGCUUGGUGAGCUCCGGUGCACGGUGACUACGGCGACACUGGUCUACCGCGACAACAUUCACUAGUAGAAAAAUGGUCAAACAUGAAGCACAUUAGUGCCGGUUUGAAUUUGAGCUGGCACUAAUGGUACCAUUAGUGCCGGUUCGAACGGCUAUGCAUUAAUGCCGGUUCGUGUUGAACCUUUAGUACUGGUUCGUGCCACGAACCGGUACUAAAGGGGUGAUGGCAGGCUGGCGUCAGGCCGGGGCCCCACGAUCACCUUUAGUACUGGUUCGUGUCACAAACCGGUGCCACGAACCGGUGCUAAAGGGGACUGACCUAUAGUACCGGUUUGUGACACAAACCGGCACUAUAGGGCAAUUUUCAAACUCUNNNNNNNNNNNNNNNNNNNNNNNNNNNNNNNNNNNNNNNNNNNNNNNNNNNNNNNNNNNNNNNNNNNNNNNNNNNNNNNNNNNNNNNNNNNNNNNNNNNNNNNNNNNNNNNNNNNNNNNNNNNNNNNNNNNNNNNNNNNNCAUUUCAGUUCUGAAAAAAUCAAAAGAAAAUGAUAAAAACUUUCAAAAAUAAAAUCCUUGGAGAGGUAGUUAUAUUACUACAUCUACUAGUUAGGAAAAUUUGAAAACUUAAAUUUGGACAUGUUCUGCAAAAAGUGUAGGGAAAAUGUAAAACGGCUAUAACUUUUGCAUACGAUGUCGGAAAAAAACAUAUAAUAUAUCAAAAAAUUCAGCACGAAAAUCCGCAUCCGAUGGAGACCGCCUACGGCCUGUUUGCAAUUUUUUAGAAUCCUUAAAUUCCAAAAGGAAAAAAAGAUAUGGUCAAAUUUCAGUUUUUAAAAAAAAAUUGGUUAAAUCUGGUCAAACUACUUAUUCAAGAAGUAUUAAUGUUACUACAUAAUUAUUCAAGAAUAUUAGUGUUACUAAAUAAUUAUUUCAAUUUUUUGAAUUUUGGUCAAAUCUAGUCAAACUAUGGUCAAAUUGUGGUGAAACUAUGGUCAAACUUAUUCAAGAAAUAUUAGUGUUACUAAAUAAUUACUGUUUUUUAGAAUAAUAGUUUCAAACUCAAACAGUGAAAUGUGUGACUUCAUGCUCAAGCUAAACUCCUGAGGGUUAAUAGGAUUGACAUCUUACUAUCGUCAGGAAAACAACAAGUGCAGACUUGGAAACGAAGAAGAAUAGAACCCGAAAGUUAAGCGUCCUCGGGCUGGAGUAGUGAGAGGGAUGGGUGAACAGUCGGGAAGUUAGAUGAUUUGAAAUGCGUGAUGCACACUUGAACAGUUAAGAGAGGUGAUUAGAGACUAAAUCACCAAAUAAUUCAGAAAAAAUAAAAAUCAAAAAAAAAAUCAAAAAAAAUUCCAAAAUUUUCAAAAAAAAAAAUUUAAAAAAAACCUUUAGUACCGGUUGGUAACACCAACCAGUACUAAAGGNNNNNNNNNNNNNNNNNNNNNNNNNNNNNNNNNNNNNNNNNNNNNNNNNNNNNNNNNNNNNNNNNNNNNNNNNNNNNNNNNNNNNNNNNNNNNNNNNNNNNNNNNNNNNNNNNNNNNNNNNNNNNNNNNNNNNNNNNNNNNNNNNNNNNNNNNNNNNNNNNNNNNNNNNNNNNNNNNNNNNNNNNNNNNNNNNNNNNNNNNNNNNNNNNNNNNNNNNNNNNNNNNNNNNNNNNNNNNNNNNNNNNNNNNNNNNNNNNNNNNNNNNNNNNNNNNNNNNNNNNNNNNNNNNNNNNNNNNNNNNNNNNNNNNNNNNNNNNNNNNNNNNNNNNNNNNNNNNNNNNNAAAACUCCGUUUUCUACUAGUGAUUUCGGCGGUGUAUCUCUCCAGCAACCCCGUUUUAAAAAAAAUUAAAAAAAAAACCUUUAGUACCGGUUGGUAACACCAACCGGUACUAAAGGUCCCCCAUACCAGGGCGCGAGCUCACGCCACGUGGUGGCACUUUAGCGCCGGUUCGUGCCGAACCGGUACUAAAGGGGGGGCCUUUAGUGGCCACCCCCUAGUGCCGGUUAUGGAACCGGCACUAAAGGCCCUUACGAACCGGCGCUAAAACUCCGUUUUCUACUAGUGAUUUCGGCGGUGUAUCUCUCCAGCAACCCCGUUCACCAUCGGCGCACCAAGCAUAUCGAGUUGGACAUCCACUUCGUCCGUGAACGCGUGGCCCUCGACGAGUUCCGCGUCAUGCACAUUCCGACUCGCCAGCAGUUCGCCGGCGUGAUGACGAAAGGGCUGCCCACCGAUGUCUUCACCGAGUUUCGCUCCAGUCUUUGUGUCUCCUCCAGGGGGUGUUAGAAUACAGUGUUGUGUACAUGUAUAGCUGGAGUACGUGUGUAUAGUUUUCCGUGUAAUACGCACGUCCCCACGCUCCCUCUCGCGGCCAGCCCACGAUCACCAUCGUGGGUUCGUGCCCUCUCUGUAACUCUAUAUGAACUGCCCAAUGGCAAUACGAUCGUUGUGUUCGAUCUCUUUCUGUCUUCACUGGCAACUUUGCACCUUUGCUGCCUGGUCACUAGGGCGCACCACUGCCUGCCAUCCGCAUGCGCUGGUGGAGGACCAAACUAGGGCACCGCCGUGGUUCUAGCCUCUCAUGCACUCCAUUGAUUUUACGCUCCCGCCAGCUAUCAUUCUCCUGAGGCAUCCAGCAGUCCGGCCAUGAGCUCGUUUGUCACCGCAAGUUUUUUUGUAUGUAUACCGAAGGGAAAAAAAAUUAAGUACCUGACGUAUGGCAAAAGCUCAAGGCAACUCCGAACGUUUUUGGCAAGUUUAAUAACGCGAGAAUGACAACUUUAGUCGUCAAGUAUGACAACUUUCAUGCUUCAGUUUAUUUUUGACAAAAACUUGCCGUCUAUCAUUGAAUUUGCCAUCUUGCAUGACUAGUGUUAAGAUUAAAAAUAAUCUGUAAUUAGGGAAAUCUCCCCUUGUCCAUCGAGCGCACGGUUGCUCUCUCUCUCUCUCGAACCGUCGCCGUCUCCCUGGAACCGACGCGUCCCUCCUCUGGACCGUCGUGUCCCUCCAAGGGAGAUAUAAACCCCCCCUGUAACCAUCGCCAAGAUUGAUCGUUUGUCUGAUUCAAAACACGUUAUCACGCACGCUAGAACUACCAACGAGCGAAACAACAGAGGAAGAGAGGUUCGCCGACGGUGAGAUGACAGACCUCACCCUUUUCUUCCUUAGCCUGAUCCGCGAGGAUGGUCGCCGCUACCGUCGUCGCCAUCAUGGUGUGGGUGGUUUCCGUCGCUACUGUCGUCGGAUGCAUGCCAUCCGCCAGUUCGGCCGCCACCGCGCCGCUGGACGUGGUGCUUCUGGCCGCCACGACGCCACUGGACGCGCCCCCGGCGGUGCUCCCUUCGCCCCUGGACACGCCCACGGCGGUGCUCCUUGCGUCCGUGGCCAGGCGCCCAUGGGGUUCGACCCCUGGCUUCUGGCAGGCCCGAGCGCCUCCAUGGUGCACAGGAAUGCAGCCGCGCCUGCACCACCCCCUGGUUCUCCGCCUCCACCCCCUCCUCCGCCAGCCGCUUGGAUCCCGCCAUCGACGCCGACACCUGACGCCAUGGUUGCUGGCUCGAGCCGAGGCCCGCCUGGCUAUGCCCCAGUGCCGAUGUGCUCGGUGGUGAACGAGGAGGAGGCGCUCGCCUUUGUCUCCGUGCCGACCGGUGCCUCCGGGGUCGUCCGCCUCGGGGUCGGGAUGGAGGGCGCCGACGCCACCGCCCCGCCACCACUGGUAACCACCGCGGGCUCGAGCAGCCGCGUGGAGAGGCGCUUUGGCCGACUCUUCGGACGCGCCGUCUCCGCCGUCGACCGCCGUCCCGGCCACCGCGCUGGCUCGUGGGCUCCGGCGACCCUCGGCCUCGCCAGCGCUGCGCCAGAAGGGGCUCGCCAUCAACCCGUCGUCGCCUCUUCUUCGGACGAGGAGUGCUCGACGGGGCUGCGCCGGUGACCAUCGGAGAUGCAAGGGGAGGCGCGGCGCUUGCUCACAUCGGCGGCGGCUGCAGCUCCCCGCGCGGUGGAGGGGAUCGAGUGGUGGAGGGGAUAGAAUGGUGGUUUGGGUCGGGGCUUGACCCUUAUCCACGACCGCCUCAUCCCCUCGCCUCCUCUCUGAUGCGGUGGGAUGGUUGUGGGCCAGUUUCGGCUGGUUGUGGGCCGGCUUCGGCUGGCUGUUGCAGCCCAGGCCCAGGCGACCGGCCUGCUCCCUUGAUUGAUUUUUUUUCUCUGAUUGAUUAAUAUUAGUACUAAUUAUUGUAUUAGUACAGUUUUAGACUAUUUUUAGUACUGUUUAGUACUUAGAUUAACUACUACAUACACUAUAGUCCUGUUUUAGAUUUAUUCUAUGUUAGGACUUGUGUAAUUAUUAGUAGGUGUGUUUAUAUUAUGUAAUGGAUUGCAUAUAAAUAAAGUACCGGGUUUCAUUUGGGAAAAAUGACAUGUUCCAUGUGUUUACCACAUAUCAAGUUCUCUUGAACAUGUCUUUGCGAUCGAGAUCAUCUUCUCUCGCAUACCAAACUUGCAAAUUUUUGAAUUUUUCUCCCUCCUUAUUUAUGAAUUGUAGCAUACACAAGGUGUUAUGUUUACACAAUUGAGGUUGAGAAAAAUUUUCAAGUCUUUUCACUUGAGCAUCAAUUUUUUGCGUUCUUAUUACAGAACCAUGAUGGUUUUUAAUUUACCACCUGUAAAUUAAUUAUCUCUGGUUCCUCAUGUAGGCAAAGAUGACUGCCAAAGAGUUUGAGGAGCUUGCCCUCAAUGGCCACAACUAUCCUACAUGGGCUAUGGACAUCAAGAUCAGUCUUGCGUCCCGUGGGAUUGCGCGUGCAAUACAGCCCCCUGAGACUCCUGUUCCGACUGGAGCCACGCCGCUGACAGAACAGCAGAACUAUGCUGCUUUAUUCAUCAUAAGGCAUCAUAUUCAUCCAGAUCUCAAGUCUGAGUAUUUACAGGAGGAAUCUCCUAGUACUCUGUUUCUGGCCCUCAAAACGAGGUAUGAACAGCAGAAGGCAGUAUUCCUGCCAGAAGCACUCCAUGAUUGGACUCAUCUCCGUCUCCAGGAUUUCAAAUCCAUCGGUGAGUACAAUCAUGCUGUUCAUAAGAUAUGUUCCAAACUGCGCUUUUGUGAGAAGGAACCUACUGAGGGGGAGAAGAUAGAAAAGACUCUGUCUACUAUGCUCCCUUCAGAUAGGAUACUCCAACAACAAUACCGUGCUCGUAACUUCACUGUCUAUUCCGAGCUUAUUCACAUGUUACUUCAGGCUGAAAAGCAUGAUUUGCUACUUGCUAAGAAUGGCUCUCAGCGCCUAGUUGGGGCACAACCUUUACCUGAAGUUCAUAUGAAUAUCGGGAAUAGACAAAAGUUUAAUGGUACCUUUCGGGGUAAACAAUCCAAUUUCGAGCAUAAGCGAAAGCGCAAUGGGAACAGAAGAUCCAGAAACCCAGGCAAGGGAAAAGGCACUUCAAAGCCCAGGUUUGAUAAAUCUAAGCUUUGCAACAAGUGUGGAUGCUACACGCAUUCUACUGAAAAGUGCACAAUGCCCAAGCAUCUGGUUAUGCUGUACCAGCAAUCUCAGGGACGCAAAGCACCUCAAGGGAAAAGUUUUGAAGCCAACUUCAACCUUCAUCCGCAUAGCGCACAAGGAGCCGGUGAUUCGCACGAUGUCCCUCCUGGACCGAGCAACGCCAUGAUUCCUUAUCUGCCUGAGGAUCCUGCUGAAAUGGAGAACACGUUGAUUGAGUACAUCGCAAACAACGUGUUUGGCGACUUCGACUAGUCCCUCAAUCUCCUAGUGAUCUACUCAUUUAUGUCCAUUUGUGAUGAUUGUAAUAAGAACAUAAGUUUGUUGUUGUCUUUAUAUUGUAUUGUAUCAGCACGUUUGAUAUAAUAAAGAUUGUAUGCUAUGUAUUACCAUGAGGUUUUCUUAUUGAAAAUUCUUUGUUUUAUAUAGUUCUCUACGGGGACAAUCCGAUGGAAGAGGAAUUGUGCCUUGUGGACAGUGGUGCCACAAACUCCAUACCGAGGGAGAUGAAAUACUUCCAAACUCUGAAAAGACAAAUGGAGAUAUUCUAACUAUCGCUGGACGCGAUACUGUGAUUGUUGGUACUGGACGUGCCAUCUUCACCCUCCCAAGUGGUACACAUGUGACAAUUGAGGAUGCUUUACUGUAUCCCGAUUCUUCACGUACCCUGAUCAGUUAUCGAGAUAUCCGUAAAAAUGGUUUUCACAUUGAAACCCAUGAAGAGAACAAAGAGGAGUAUCUACUCUUUACCAAAGAUCACGGAUAUGGCAAAAAGGUACAUGAGAAAAUUCCUUCUCUAUCGUCCGGUUUGUACUAUACGUACAUCAAACCCAUAGAACAUGUUGCAUACAAAGUAAUUUUUCAGAAUGUUAAUGCAUUCCAAACCUGGCAUGAUCGCCUAGGCCAUCCCGGAAUCGGGAUGAUGAGAAAAAUUACCAGCAAUUCCAUUGGUCAUAAUUUGCUUGGGUCAAAAUUUCCUCAAUCUUCUGAUUUUGUGUGCACAUUUUGUGCCACGGGAAAGCUAAUUUUGAGGCCCUCGCAUCUCAAAAUACAAGCUGAACCACUUCAGUUCCUUGAACGUAUUCAGGGAGACAUUUGUGGUCCCAUUCAGCCAUUAUCUGGACCUUUCAGGUAUUUCAUGGUUCUGAUUGACGCAUCUACACGAUGGUCACACGUGUGUCUUCUAUCCACACGGAACCAUGCAUUUGCCAAGAUAAUGAGGCAAGUCAUUAAGUUGCAACCCAUUAUCCUGAAAAUCGAAUUAAGACAAUUCGAAUGGACAAUGCUGCAGAAUUCUCCUCACAUGCUUUCAAUGAUUAUUGCAUGGCUUUGGGGAUUGAAGUUCAGCACUCUGUUCCAUAUGUCCAUACACAAAAUGGUUUGGCUGAAGCAUUGAUUAAGAGGAUUAAACUCAUUGCAAGACCUUUGUUGACGAAUUGCAACUUGCCAACCUCUUGUUGGGGUCAUGCCGUUUUACACGCUGCUGACUUGAUACAAUUGAGGCCAACUGCAUAUCACAGUUCUUCCCCUCUGGAAUUGAUACGUGGAAAUCCUCCAAGUAUUUCCCAUCUACGUAAGUUCGGAUGUGCUGCAUACAUCCCGAUCUCACCACCUCAGCGGACAUCUAUGGGCCCACACAGGAAAUUGAGGAUCUAUGUGGGGUACAAAUCGUCGUCGAUUAUCAAGUACCUGGAACCCCUGACUGGGGAUCUGUUCACAGCCCGUCACGCUGAUUGUAUAUUUAACGAGGAACAUUUUCCGGCAUUAGGGGGAGAUUUUAAGUACCAGAAAGAAUGCCCGGAAAUUGAUUGGAAUGCUCAUGCCAUUUCAUCCUCUGAUCCACGUACCCAAGAGACCGAACUUCAAGUUCGGAAGAUUAUUAAUUUGCAACAUCUUGCAAAUAAUCUGCCAGAUUCAUUUACUGAUCUAAAAGGUGUAACUAAAUCCUUGAAUCCAGCCAGAAACGCGCCUGAAAGAGUGGAGGUACCAACUAAAACCACUCAACUCCCCGUUCCCAAAAAGAGGGGAGUAGUAUGGCCUCUGGCCCGGAUCCUUCUUCUCGCAAGCAGCAAAGGAGAGAGAGGAGAAAUUCCUCAAAGACGGUAAAUGCAAGUCAGCUCAACGUUGACAAACACCUGAUGGGUAGUAUACACCCAGUGGAAGGGCAACCUCCACAACCCAGCUCCGGCUUGCACACUCUAGCUGGGACAUCGGAACACCCAGACUCAAUCGUAUUGGGAAAUCACGAAGAGUCACUAGGGGUGCAGGAAAUUUCUAUCAACUAUGUUGAUU